rnacentral:rRNA from 1 species
GACGAACGCUGGCGGCAUGCCCAAUACAUGCAAGUCGAGCGGACUUGAUGAGAAGCUUGCUUCUCUGAUGGUUAGCGGCGGACGGGUGAGUAACAUGUAGGCGACCUGCCCUCAAGCUUGGGACAACUACCGGAAACGGUAGCUAAUACCGAAUACUUGUUUUCUUAGCCUGAAGGAAACUGGAAAGACGGAGCAAUCUGUCACUUGAGGAUGGGCCUGCGGCGCAUUAGCUAGUUGGUGAGGUAACGGCUCACCAAGGCGACGAUGCGUAGCCGACCUGAGAGGGUGAUCGGCCACACUGGGACUGAGACACGGCCCAGACUCCUACGGGAGGCAGCAGUAGGGAAUCUUCCGCAAUGGGCGAAAGCCUGACGGAGCAAUGCCGCGUGAGUGAUGAAGGUUUUCGGAUCGUAAAGCUCUGUUGCCAGGGAAGAACGCUCAGGAGAGUAACUGCUCCUGAGGUGACGGUACCUGAGAAGAAAGCCCCGGCUAACUACGUGCCAGCCGCCGCGGUAAUAC